CUCAAUGGUGGCUGUGCGCAGGGCGCCUUCGGGUGCGCCGGUCUCUUGGAUCCCCGGUCUACUAACCUGCGUACAGCUGCCACCCAC
rnacentral:antisense_RNA from 3 species